rnacentral:tRNA from 1 species
AGGGUAAUAUUUAUUCAUAAUAUCUAAUUUGCACUUAGAAAGUGCCUAGGGGCUUACCUUA